UACGAAGGGGGCUAGCGUUGCUCGGAUUGACUGGGCGUAAAGGGCGCGUAGGCGGUUCGUACAGUCAGACGUGAAAUUCCUGGGCUCAACCUGGGGGCUGCGUUUGAUACGUGCGGACUUGAGUGCGGAAGAGGGUCGUGGAAUUCCCAGUGUAGAGGUGAAAUUCGUAGAUAUUGGGAAGAACGCCGGUGGCGAAGGCGGCGACCUGGUCCGAUACUGACGCUGAGACGCGAAAGCGUGGGGAGCAAACAGG
rnacentral:rRNA from 1 species